AUUCACUUGGCUCUUGAAAUUUCAUUUCACAGUCAAAUAAUUUUCAUUCACCCACGCUGGCAUUUCAUUUCAUUCCAGAACCCUAACCUCAAAUCCAUAACUUCAUCUCUUCUCAUGGAUUUGCACCGCCUCACUCUUCCUCUUCCUCACUAUCUCUGACUCUUUCUCUUUGAGCAUAUAGAGAGAAAAGGGAACCUCAAAUUUCAAUAUGUUUCGAAUCAGAACAGAACAGAGUCCCACAGUAAUUGAAAUCCUAAUUGUGCAGCCGAUUAGAAAUAGCAAUUGAACAGAAUCCCAUUAGUCCCUUUGAGUCCCAUUACACACAACAAUUGAACGGAGACUUUCCAUCCGCCAUCCGCUUGUGCCGUUGUGCGGGAGAUUCAAUCGACACAAGAGACGGGAAAAAUUUUGCGGUGCUGUUGCUAUCGAUUUAGCGAUCCGCCUGCCGUCGUUGACAGUUGCCAUGGUAGUCCAUCGCCAAUCGCCACAGUCGUUUGCUUCACAAGCCCGGGGUUAAGAAAUGUCAGUGGAUAAGAGUUGGACAUUGCAUAAUAGGAUAAGAGUUGGACAUUGCUGACUAAUAGAUAAGAGAUGCAUUAUAGCAAUGAAUGCGGGUAGACAACUAAAGAAGCGGAGUCUCAUUAUGUGAGCAACUGAUGCUUUUGAAAGAAUCUGAAAUAUGUGAGCAAGUUUUGAGCAAGAGAUUUAGCUAUGUUGAUCAAUAGAAAAAUUCAAAGGAGACAAUGUUAAAAAAUUGUGGUACUUGUUCAGAGAAUGCUGCUUUACAGAAUGAGGUUCAAGAUCUUUGUUUUCAAUUGGAAUCUAUGUAGACAUUCUUAAAUUGCAUUAUAGAAGAGUUUCUUCUUCGACCUAAUAUUAUUAUCAAUUGGCUUUCCUCACUUUUUAUAA